CCUACGGGUGGCAGCAGUGGGGAAUAUUGCACAAUGGGGGAAACCCUGAUGCAGCAACGCCGCGUGAGUGAAGAAGUACUUCGGUAUGUUAAGCUCUAUCAGCAGGGAAGAAGAUGACGGUACCUGAUUAAGAAGCCCCGGCUAACUACGUGCCAGCAGCCGCGGUAAUACGUAGGGGGCAAGUGUUAUCCGGAUUUACUGGGUGUAAAGGGAGCGUAGACGGCAGUGCAAGUCUGGAGUGAAAGGCGGGGGCCCAACCCCGGGACUGCUCUGGAAACUGUGCGGCUAGAGUGCAGGAGGGGCAGGCGGAAUUCGUAGUGUAGCGGUGAAAUGCGUAGAUAUUAGGAGGAACACCAGUGGCGAAGGCGGCCUACUGGACUGUAACUGACGUUGAGGCUCGAAAGCGUGGGGAGCAAACAGGAUUAGAUACCCUAGUAGUC
rnacentral:rRNA from 1 species